rnacentral:rRNA from 1 species
UGAGUAACCUGCCCUUAACUCUGGGAUAACGUCGGGAAACCGGUGCUAAUACUGGAUAUGACUCGAACAGGCAUCUGUUUCGGGUGGAAAGAUUUAUUGGUGGAGGAUGGACUCGCGGCCUAUCAGCUUGUUGGUGAGGUAAUGGCUCACCAAGGCGACGACGGGUAGCUGGUCUGAGAGGAUGGCCAGCCACAUUGGGACUGAGACACGGCCCAGACUCCUACGGGAGCA